CACAUUCAGUUCCCUCAUAAGGCCUUUCUCCAGCAUGAUUUUGCUGAUAUUUAAUAAGGUUGGAGUUGUACCUAAACAAUUCCCCACAUUCACUGAACUCAUAAGGCCUCUCCCCAUUAUGGGUUUUUUGGUGCUCAAACAGCCCAUGUUGGUGGCAAAAGUCUUUCCCACCUUGGCUGGAGUUGAAAUCAUUCUGUUCGCCUUGAAAGGCUUCCCCAUCCUGGGUAUCCCUGUAUAGCUUCCACCCACUGUUUAAGACCUGUUGCUGGAGAAGGUCUGAGCUGGCAGUAAAAUCCUUGCCACCCUGCGUGCAUGUGAAGUUCCUCUCUCCCACGUGAGCACUGUGGUUCACAAAUGAAGGCCUCCACUCAUCACUUCUGGUGAGCUUCU
rnacentral:lncRNA from 1 species